rnacentral:tRNA from 1 species
AAAAUUUUAGUUUAAGUAAAAUUUAAUAUUUACAAUAUUAAGAUAUUUUAAAAUAAAUUUUU